UGUUCCAUGGUCAGAUAGACUGGAGUUUCUAAAAGGCUGGUAUAUCCUCAUCAUCUGCUCCAUUUAAAAAAUAGAAAUCCAGACAAAGAUUAUGACCAAUUACGAUGUCUGCAGUAUCUUUCUUGGGACAGGCACAAUGCUCGUUUCGAUGGGAGUCAUACACUACAUGGGCUACUUCAAGAGAUACAAUCAGCAGGAGUGGAGCCUAUUGUCGGCGCUGCCUGCGUUCAUGUCGAAGUGCAAAGACCUGCUCACCUCAGGACGCUACCAAGUCAAGGGCUCCUGUACCUGCUCCUCCAUAACCAGCUGCUUCCCCAAGUGAGACCAACCUGAGUGACA